ACAGCAGCCGCGGUAAGACGUAGGGCGCGAGCGUUGUCCGGAUUUAUUGGGCGUAAAGAGCUCGUAGGCGGCUUGUUGCGUCGUUCGUGAAAUCCCGUGGCUCAACUGCGGGCUUGCGGACGAUACGGGCAGGCUAGAAUUCGGUAGGGGAGACUGGAAUUCCUGGUGUAGCGGUGAAAUGCGCAGAUAUCAGGAGGAACACCGGUGGCGAAGGCGGGUCUCUGGGCCGAUAUUGACGCUGAGGAGCGAAAGCGUGGGGAGCGAACAGGAUUAGAUACCCUGGUAGUCCACGCUGUAAACGUUGGGCGCUAGGUGUGGGGGGCCUCUCCGGUUUCCUGCGCCGUAGCUAACGCAUUAAGCGCCCCGCCUGGGGAGUACGGCCGCAAGGCUAAAACUUAAAGGAAUUGGCGGGGGAU
rnacentral:rRNA from 1 species